UGGGGAAUUUUGGACAAUGGGCGCAAGCCUGAUCCAGCCAUGCCGCGUGCAGGAUGAAGGCCUUCGGGUUGUAAACUGCUUUUGUACGGAACGAAAAGGUUUCUUUUAAUACAGGGAACUGAUGACGGUACCGUAAGAAUAAGCACCGGCUAACUACGUGCCAGCAGCCGCGGUAAUACGUAGGGUGCGAGCGUUAAUCGGAAUUACUGGGCGUAAAGCGUGCGCAGGCGGUGAUGUAAGACAGAGGUGAAAUCCCCGGGCUCAACCUGGGAACUGCCUUUGUGACUGCAUCGCUGGAGUGCGGCAGAGGGGGAUGGAAUUCCGCGUGUAGCAGUGAAAUGCGUAGAUAUGCGGAGGAACACCGAUGGAGAAGGCAAUCCCCUGGGCCUGCACUGACGCUCAUGCACGAAAGCGUGGGGAGCAAACAGG
rnacentral:rRNA from 1 species